rnacentral:rRNA from 1 species
AUUGAACGCUGGCGGCAUGCUCUACACAUGCAAGUCGAACGGUAACAGGCCUUCGGUUGCUGACUUGUGGCGGACGGGCGAGUAAGGCAGCGGAACGUACCCAGCUGUGGGGGAGAACGCAGCAACUGCUGUGCUAGUACCGCAUGUGAUCUUAGGAUGAAAGCAGGGAACCGAGCAGCAAUGUUUGGCCUCGCGCCUUUGGAUGCGCCGAUGUCGGAUUAGCUAGUUGGUGGGGUAAAGGCCUACCAAGGCGACGAUCCGUAGCUGGUCUGAGAGGACGACCAGCCACACUGGAACUGAGACACGGCCCAGACUCCUACGGGAGGCAGCAGUGGGGAAUUUUGGACAAUGGGCGCAAGCCUGAUGCAGCCAUGCCGCGUGUGUGAAGAAGGCCUUCGGGUUGUAAACCGCUUUUGGCAGGGAGGAAGCGGGUUCCGCUAAUACCGGGCGCCAUUGACGGUACCUGCAGAAGAAGCACCGGCUAACUCCGUG